UUUAUUGACUAAAGUCACAUUUUAACAAUGUUAAUAAAUAUCUUUAUUGACUAAAGUCACAUUAAUUCACGUUUCGCUUUUCCGUUACGCAGCGAAAUCUCGUAAGAAGGCCUGUUAUAUAUAUACUGAAAAAAGUUAAACUACCAUUUUCAAUUAUGAGUAACAAAGAUGCAAGUAUAGUUACUAUAAAAUGAUCGCAAUCUAACUUAAAAACAAUAAGUGAAACAUCAAUAUUGUUUGCACAUUAGAGAAGCAAGUCCUGAUAUUAAAGUGCAAAGUUUUGCCAAAUGUUUUCAAUCUGCAAUAUAUAUGGAACUAUUAUGCCUAAAGUUUUAUAAAGUCUUUAUCUGCAGUGGAUAUCCUGGGGGAAUAGACUGAGUUUUAAGCUUCAUAAAUUUAUUAUGAUAAAAUAAAUGAUAUAACAAGGCUAUAUCAAACUUAUGGAAAUAGAUCAUUAUGAAAAAACUUUAUUGAGUAGAGUAAUUAAAGAAACAUAAGUGUCACAUACAGCAAAAUUCGAAAUGGUCGAUAAGUUAAAAGGCGGUUGUUUAAAGAGAAUAGUAGAAUAAAUAGCUUAAUAGAAUAGCAAAAAAACUGUUAUGUUUUGUAUGCUUAAAUUAUGAAAAAACUUUAUUGAGUAGAAUAAUUAAAGAAACAUAAGUGUCACAUACAGCAAAAUUCGAAAUGGUCGAUAAGUUAAAAGGCGGUUGUUUAAAGAGAAUAGUAGAAUAAAUAGCUUAAUAGAAUAGCAAAAAAACUGUUAUGUUUUGUAUGCUUAAAUUGUAAAUAAAUACAAAAUGUUAAAA